GAGUGGCGGACGGGUGAGUAACGCGUGGGGAACCUGCCCCAUACCGGGGGAUAACAGCCGGAAACGGCUGCUAAUACCGCAUAAGCGCACAGUACCGCAUGGUACGGUGUGAAAAACUCCGGUGGUAUGGGAUGGACCCGCGUCUGAUUAGCCAGUUGGCGGGGUAACGGCCCACCAAAGCGACGAUCAGUAGCCGGCCUGAGAGGGCGACCGGCCACAUUGGGACUGAGACACGGCCCAGACUCCUACGGGAGGCAGCAGUGGGGAAUAUUGCACAAUGGGGGAAACCCUGAUGCAGCGACGCCGCGUGGAGGAAGAAGGUCUUCGGAUUGUAAACUCCUGUUGUUGAGGAAGAUAAUGACGGUACUCAACAAGGAAGUGACGGCUAACUACGUGCCAGCAGCCGCGGUAAAACGUAGGUCACAAGCGUUGUCCGGAAUUACUGGGUGUAAAGGGAGCGCAGGCGGGAAGACAAGUUGGAAGUGAAAUCCAUGGGCUCAACCCAUGAACUGCUUUCAAAACUGUUUUUCUUGAGUAGUGCAGAGGUAGGCGGAAUUCCCGGUGUAGCGGUGGAAUGCGUAGAUAUCGGGAGGAACACCAGUGGCGAAGGCGGCCUACUGGGCACCAACUGACGCUGAGGCUCGAAAGUGUGGGUAGCAAACAGGAUUAGAUACCCUGGUAGUCCACACUGUAAACGAUGAUUACUAGGUGUUGGAGGAUUGACCCCUUCAGUGCCGCAGUUAACACAAUAAGUAAUCCACCUGGGGAGUACGACCGCAAGGUUGAAACUCAAAGGAAUUGACGGGGGCCCGCACAAGCAGUGGAGUAUGUGGUUUAAUUCGACGCAACGCGAAGAACCUUACCAAGUCUUGACAUCCUGCGACGGUGCUGGAAACAGUACUUUCCUUCGGGACGCAGAGACAGGUGGUGCAUGGUUGUCGUCAGCUCGUGUCGUGAGAUGUUGGGUUAAGUCCCGCAACGAGCGCAACCCUUAUGGUCAGUUACUACGCAAGAGGACUCUGGCCAGACUGCCGUUGACAAAACGGAGGAAGGUGGGGAUGACGUCAAAUCAUCAUGCCCUUUAUGACUUGGGCUACACACGUACUACAAUGGCGUUAAACAAAGAGAAGCAAGACCGCGAGGCGGAGCAAAACUCAGAAACAACGUCCCAGUUCGGACUGCAGGCUGCAACUCGCCUGCACGAAGUCGGAAUUGCUAGUAAUCGCAGAUCAGCAUGCUGCGGUGAAUACGUUCCUCGGGCCUUGCACACACCGCCCGUCA
rnacentral:rRNA from 1 species